GACGAACGCUGGCGGCGUGCUUAACACAUGCGAGUCGAACGAAGAGCGAUGGAAGCUUGCUUCUAUCAAUCUUAGUGGCGAACGGGUGAGUAACGCGUAAUCAACCUGCCCUUCAGAGGGGGACAACAGUUGGAAACGACUGCUAAUACCGCAUACGAUCCAAUCUCGGCAUCGGGACUGGAUGAAAGGUGGCCUCUAUUUAUAAGCUAUCACUGAAGGAGGGGAUUGCGUCUGAUUAGCUAGUUGGAGGGGUAACGGCCCACCAAGGCGAUGAUCAGUAGCCGGUCUGAGAGGAUGAACGGCCACAUUGGGACUGAGACACGGCCCAGACUCCUACGGGAGGCAGCAGUGGGGAAUCUUCCGCAAGGGACGAAAGUCUGACGGAGCAACGCCGCGUGAGUGAUGACGGCCUUCGGGUUGUAAAGCUCUGUUAAUCGGGACGAAUGGUUCUUGUGCGAAUAGUGCGAGGAUUUGACGGUACCGGAAGAGAAAGCCACGGCUAACUACGUG
rnacentral:rRNA from 1 species